CCGCGGUUAUACAAAAAAUACAAGUAAAUAUUAUUAGGUAUUAGUUAAAUUGUUAUUUAAAUAAAAAAAAUAAGUUUUUUAGGUGAAAUUUUAAAUUUAUUUAAUUAUUUUUUGUUGAGUUAUUAAAGCUAUGAAAUUUUAUUGGUAAACUAGGAUUAGAUACCCUAUUAUUUAAAAUGUAAAAUUUAAAACUAGAGUAGUAUUAGUUAUGAUCUUGAAACUUAAAAAAUUUGGCGGUAUUUUAGUCUAUUCAGAGGAACCUGUUCUGUAAUCGAUAAUCCACGAUGGACCUCACUUAUUUUUGUAAUCAAUUUGUAUACCGCCGUCAUCAGAAUGUCUUAAAAGAGAAAAAAUUUUCUAGAAUUUUAAUUAAAAAUGAUGUCAGGUCAAGGUGCAGUUUAUAUUUAAGUAGAAAUGGGUUACAAUAAAUUUAUUUAAAUGGAUAAUUAAUUGAAAUAUUGGUUUGAAAGUGGAUUUGAUAGUAAAAUAAUAAAGAUUUUUUAUUUGAUUUUAGCUCUAAAAUAUGCACAUAUCGCCCGUCGCUCUCGUUAUUAAAAUGAGAUAAGUCGUAACAAAUAGUAGAUGUACCGGAAGGUGUAUCUAGAAUGA
rnacentral:rRNA from 1 species